rnacentral:tRNA from 1 species
ACGGCUGUGGCGCAGUCUGGUCAGCGCGCCGCUCUGGGAGAGCGGAGGUCGCAGGUUCGAGUCCUGCCAGCCGUA